rnacentral:rRNA from 1 species
ACGGGAUUGCCUCAGUAACGGCGAGUGAAGCGGCAACAGCUCAAAUUUGAAAGCCCGCGGGCGUUGUAAUUUGCAGGCGGAUGUUUUGGGGCGGGCGCUGUCUACGUUCCUUGGAACAGGACGCCGCAAGGGUGAGAGCCCCGUGCGAUGGCGCCUCCAACCGCGUAAAACUCCGCCGACGAGUCGAGUUGUUUGGGAAUGCAGCUCCAGUGGGUGGUAAAUUCCAUCUAAAGCUAAAUACUGGCGAGAGACCGAUAGCGAACAAGUACAGUGAUGGAAAGAUGAAAAGCACUUUGAAAAGAGAGUGAAACAGCACGUGAAAUUGUUGAAAGGGAAGGGUAUGCGAUUAGCGGCCAGCAGGAGGUGCCUUCUCGUGAAAAGGCCGUGCACCGUCUUCGGACACCGUGCGCGGAGAUGGCGAGGGGGCGCCUGAGGUCUGCGACUCGAGGUUGCUGGCGUAAUGAUUGCAUACCACCCGUCUUGAAACCACGGACCA